rnacentral:rRNA from 1 species
UACGAAGGGGGCUAGCGUUGCUCGGAAUUACUGGGCGUAAAGGGCGCGUAGGCGGCACUGUUAGUCAGGCGUGAAAGUCCUGGGCUCAACCUGGGAACUGCGCUUGAUACGGCAGAGCUAGAGGAUGGAAGAGGGUCGCGGAAUUCCCAGUGUAGAGGUGAAAUGCGCAGAUAUCGGGAAGAACACCCGUGGCGAAGGCGGUUCUCUGGGACGGUACUGACGCUGAGACGCGAAAGCGUGGGGAGCGAACAGG